GGGUUGUGAGGUUAAGCGACUAAGCGUACACGGUGGAUGCCCUGGCAGUCAGAGGCGAUGAAGGGCGUGCUAAUCUGCGAUAAGCGCCGGUAAGGUGAUAUGAACCGUUAUAACCGGCGAUACCCGAAUGGGGAAACCCAGUGUGAUUCGUCACACUAUCAUUAACUGAAUCCAUAGGUUAAUGAGGCGAACCGGGGGAACUGAAACAUCUAAGUACCCCGAGGAAAAGAAAUCAACCGAGAUUCCCCCAGUAGCGGCGAGCGAACGGGGAGGAGCCCAGAGCCUGAAUCAGCAUGUGUGUUAGUGGAAGCGUCUGGAAAGGCGCGCGAUACAGGGUGACAGCCCCGUACACAAAAGCGCAUGUGCUGUGAGCUCGAUGAGUAGGGCGGGACACGUGGUAUCCUGUCUGAAUAUGGGGGGACCAUCCUCCAAGGCUAAAUACUCCUGACUGACCGAUAGUGAACCAGUACCGUGAGGGAAAGGCGAAAAGAACCCCGGCGAGGGGAGUGAAAAAGAACCUGAAACCGUGUACGUACAAGCAGUGGGAGCCCCACCACCAAAGCAUUCUCUGGUGUUGAAGGCCCUGCAAAGCAGCAUCGCGGUGGCGGAGCGUCGUUUGCGACGCCCAACACACAAAACAAGCGGUGAGUGCUUUGGGGUGGGGUGACUGCGUACCUUUUGUAUAAUGGGUCAGCGACUUAUAUUCUGUAGCAAGGUUAACCGAAUAGGGGAGCCGGAGGGAAACCGAGUCUUAAUUGGGCGUUAAGUUGCAGGGUAUAGACCCGAAACCCGGUGAUCUAGCCAUGGGCAGGUUGAAGGUUGGGUAACACUAACUGGAGGACCGAACCGACUAAUGUUGAAAAAUUAGCGGAUGACCUGUGGCUGGGGGUGAAAGGCCAAUCAAACCGGGAGAUAGCUGGUUCUCCCCGAAAGCUAUUUAGGUAGCGCCUCGUGAAUUCAUCUCCGGGGGUAGAGCACUGUUUCGGCUAGGGGGCCAUCCCGGCUUACCAACCCGAUGCAAACUGCGAAUACCGGAGAAUGUUAUCACGGGAGACACACGGCGGGUGCUAACGUCCGUCGUGAAGAGGGAAACAACCCAGACCGCAAGCUAAGGUCCCAAAGUCAUGGUUAAGUGGGAAGCGAUGUGGGAAGGCCCAGACAGCCAGGAUGUUGGCUUAGAAGCAGCCAUCAUUUAAAGAAAGCGUAAUAGCUCACUGGUCGAGUCGGCCUGCGCGGAAGAUGUAACGGGGCUAAACCAUGCACCGAAGCUGCGGCAGCGACGCUGAUGCGUUGUUGGGUAGGGGAGCGUUCUGUAAGCCUGCGAAGGUGGCCUGUGAGGGUUGCUGGAGGUAUCAGAAGUGCGAAUGCUGACAUAAGUAACGAUAAAGCGGGUGAAAAGCCCGCUCGCCGGAAGACCAAGGGUUCCUGUCCAACGUUAAUCGGGGCAGGGUGAGUCGACCCCUAAGGCGAGGCCGAAAGGCGUAGUCGAUGGGAAACGGGUUAAUAUUCCCGUACUUGGUGUUACUGCGAAGGGGGGACGGAGAAGGCUAUGUUGGCCGGGCGACGGUUGUCCCGGUUUAAGCGUGUAGGUGUGUGUUCCAGGUAAAUCCGGUUCACUUUAACACUGAGGCGUGAUGACGAGGCACUACGGUGCUGAAGCAACAAAUGCCCUGCUUCCAGGAAAAGCCUCUAAGCAUCAGGUAACAUCAAAUCGUACCCCAAACCGACACAGGUGGUCAGGUAGAGAAUACCAAGGCGCUUGAGAGAACUCGGGUGAAGGAACUAGGCAAAAUGGUGCCGUAACUUCGGGAGAAGGCACGCUGACACGUAGGUGAAGUGAUUUACUCAUGGAGCUGAAGUCAGUCGAAGAUACCAGCUGGCUGCAACUGUUUAUUAAAAACACAGCACUGUGCAAACACGAAAGUGGACGUAUACGGUGUGACGCCUGCCCGGUGCCGGAAGGUUAAUUGAUGGGGUCAGCGCAAGCGAAGCUCCUGAUCGAAGCCCCGGUAAACGGCGGCCGUAACUAUAACGGUCCUAAGGUAGCGAAAUUCCUUGUCGGGUAAGUUCCGACCUGCACGAAUGGCGUAAUGAUGGCCAGGCUGUCUCCACCCGAGACUCAGUGAAAUUGAACUCGCUGUGAAGAUGCAGUGUACCCGCGGCAAGACGGAAAGACCCCGUGAACCUUUACUAUAGCUUGACACUGAACAUUGAGCCUUGAUGUGUAGGAUAGGUGGGAGGCUUUGAAGUGUGGACGCCAGUCUGCAUGGAGCCGACCUUGAAAUACCACCCUUUAAUGUUUGAUGUUCUAACGUGGACCCGUUACCCGGGUUGCGGACAGUGUCUGGUGGGUAGUUUGACUGGGGCGGUCUCCUCCUAAAGAGUAACGGAGGAGCACGAAGGUUGGCUAAUCCUGGUCGGACAUCAGGAGGUUAGUGCAAUGGCAUAAGCCAGCUUGACUGCGAGCGUGACGGCGCGAGCAGGUGCGAAAGCAGGUCAUAGUGAUCCGGUGGUUCUGAAUGGAAGGGCCAUCGCUCAACGGAUAAAAGGUACUCCGGGGAUAACAGGCUGAUACCGCCCAAGAGUUCAUAUCGACGGCGGUGUUUGGCACCUCGAUGUCGGCUCAUCACAUCCUGGGGCUGAAGUAGGUCCCAAGGGUAUGGCUGUUCGCCAUUUAAAGUGGUACGCGAGCUGGGUUUAGAACGUCGUGAGACAGUUCGGUCCCUAUCUGCCGUGGGCGCUGGAGAACUGAGGGGGGCUGCUCCUAGUACGAGAGGACCGGAGUUGACGCAUCACUGGUGUUCGGGUUGUCAUGCCAAUGGCACUGCCCGGUAGCUAAAUGCGGAAGAGAUAAGUGCUGAAAGCAUCUAAGCACGAAACUUGCCCCGAGAUGAGUUCUCCCUGAGACUUUAAGUCUCCUGAAGGAACGUUGAAGACGACGACGUUGAUAGGCCGGGUGUGUAAGCGCAGCGAUGCGUUGAGCUAACCGGUACUAAUGAACCGUGAGGCUUAACCUUACAACGCCGAAG
rnacentral:rRNA from 1 species